UGAAAAUACUAAUGGACAAUCUCUGGAAAAAACUUAUGCACGGAGAGCUCUGAUAAGUUUCUUCUUUCCCACAACAUGCAUUGUAAAGGAGAAUCAGGAAGUGGAGGCUUGCAAUAAUCUGCCAAAUCUUAACAAGAGUGCAUGUUUGGAAUACAGAUGCUGUUAUUCAUCAUUUGGGACCAUGAACUUCCGCUGUUUUGCCCCAUUAAGCAAUAAGCCUUUGCAGAUAUUCCGGAUAUUUGGAUUUGGUGUGAUUAGCAUGAUCAUCCUGGGAUGUCUGCCCAUUUAUUGCUUUUCUCUUCACUG